rnacentral:lncRNA from 1 species
CAUAUAAAUCAAAGAGAGGAGCUCUAAGAAGGACAUCAUUUAAGCUGCUGGAAUGCUUUAUGAGAUAUGAAACGCUGCUGUAGAAUUCAAGGAAGAACGGUUGCCAGUUGAGAGCAAAAUUAUGAAGAUAGAAGCUUUAAUCUGACCUUUUAAAAUGAAGGAAAAACUCCAUUCUCCACAAUCCACCUGAAAACAUGAAGUUCCAGUUGAACUGAUGGAAUUAUGACACAGCUUGAUGACCAAACAAAUUCUGUACAAUUGAUGAGCUUGAUUUUUUAUUUUAAUUUUUUAGAAUAUGUUUUUUAGCAUAUGCUUUCCUGAUGGAUAUCAAUAGGAAGUACACUUCUGACCAUUUUCAUAGUCCCUAAAUCUGGCUAGGAAUCCUUUAUCUGUAAAGGAUUAUGCCUUUUCAGGAUGCCUGAAAAGGAUGCCUUUUCAGUCUUGGGAGUAAAGAAAGAUAUGCAGGUUUCAGAAGGGGAAACUCUUAUUCAGAAACAUCUGGAAAUUAUUGUUUCAGCAUCUGAGGUCUUGUGUGGUGUACAACACAGCAGGUACAAUUACGUAGAAGACUUUUGCUGUAGUCUAGGUAGGAUUGUGUGGCUGAUGGUGCUAAAUGAAACGAGGGUUAACAACCACAGUGCUGAGUGGGGAACUGGACAAGAAAGACUCUUGGUUUCUUUUCCGAAGGAUACAAAUAGGUACACUUGGUACUUUAUGUUCUUAAGACCAGACAUGAAACAAAAAAAGUGAACCAAAUACAUUAUUAGUAUCUGAGAAAGGCAAAAAGUUGGCUUGUUACUCUCUCCAAUGCAGUAAACAGAUACUUUUUUCUCCCCCUAAUCUCUCCUUGGACACUUCAGUGUCCUUUCAAUCCAGUGCUGCUUUAGCUCAGCUGUUACAGCUUUGUGGCUUUCACAAAGGCGUGUUCAUCUCAUUCAAGCUCCUUUUACUUGUUUGGCACACAAAAAUAAAGAAGAGACAUAGAUUCAAUUCCCAUGACUAGGCCAAUACACAGGAGGAACUUAAAAUAGCAUUCAGCUAAUUAAACAACAACAACAACAUAACCAAACCCUAACAAACAGUAAAGCAGAAUUUACCAGAAUAAGAAUUUCCUGUAUUACAGUGAGAUGCUCUCUCAGACAAUCCUGUGUGUUUACCUAAAUACUAAAAAGGUAGUGCUAAAAUUGUC